AUAGAAAGGAAUUGGGACCAACAAAUGAGGCGAAACAUGUAACUGUUAUGGAAGCAGUCAUAUCAAUUCAACCAAAUAGAAUUGCUCCCUCCCGUAUCGUUAUCAUCCAACUCUCCUUGAAACCUAGCUUCACGCUCUCUUUCUGGCUGCAAGAAAAUCACAAGUCAGAAAUUGUGGAGUCCCCCAUAGUUAUAGUACAAGUUUUUAGUGAUUUUUUCUUGGACAAAAGAUAGAGAUAUACUGAAGAAGAAGCCUACAGAAAGUAAGCAAAUUACAACAAUCCUAAGGCAGAAAGGAGUCAGCUACAGAACAUCCUCAAGAGUCAUGACCCCCCAAAAACCAAAAACGUUUAUAAUUCUAGGAACACUUGAUAACAAAGGAUCUCAGCCCUAAAUGUUUUU